CUCCAUCGCGUCUCUUUAUGAUGGCGGACAGAAACGAUCUUGAGAAACUUGAUUUCGGCGCUUUAAGUCUCGACCAACAGGUGAAGCUACGACAGUUCAAGAUCAAGACAAGAAUUGCCAAUGAAAAAUAUUUGAGGUUUCACCCAGAGGUGGAAAUGUUACUGAGUGACUUUUUAAGAAACGUGUUUCUGAAAAGGCCUGCAGAUGUUCAUGAAUUUGCAGCAGAUCAUUUCAGUGACCCUGGAUUGCCAACAAAAAUUCAGGCCCAAAUAAAAAUCAAUAAUAAGUGAAAGUGUAUAUGUUCUUAAUUUUAUUGUAUAUCUUUUUAAUAAAAG
rnacentral:lncRNA from 1 species